CGGUCCAGACUCCUACGGGAGGCAGCAGUAGGGAAUCUUCCGCAAUGGGCGAAAGCCUGACGGAGCAACGCCGCGUGAGUGAUGAAGGUCUUCGGAUCGUAAAACUCUGUUAUUAGGGAAGAACAUACGUGUAAGUAACUGUCCUCGUCUUGACGGUACCUAAUCAGAAAGCCACGGCUAACUACGUGCCAGCAGCCGCGGUAA
rnacentral:rRNA from 1 species